CUAAGCGGGAAGCCUGUUCCAAGAUGAGGUUUCUCACCCCCUCGAGGGGGUAAGGCCCCCCACAGACCAUGGGGUUGAUAGGCCAGAACUGGAAGCGCGGUAACGUGUGGAGGUGACUGGUACUAAUCGGCCGAGGACUUACCAAC
rnacentral:rRNA from 1 species